rnacentral:rRNA from 1 species
GUGGGUUAGAUACCCGGGUAGUCCACGCCGUAAACGAUGUCGACUUGGAGGUUGUUCCCUUGAGGAGUGGCUUCCGGAGCUAACGCGUUAAGUCGACCGCCUGGGGAGUACGGCCGCAAGGUUAAAACUCAAAUGAAUUGACGGGGGCCCGCACAAGCGGUGGAGCAUGUGGUUUAAUUCGAUGCAACGCGAAGAACCUUACCUACUCUUGACAUCCAGAGAACUUAGCAGAGAUGCUUUGGUGCCUUCGGGAACUCUGAGACAGGUGCUGCAAGGCCGUCGACAGCU